rnacentral:piRNA from 1 species
UGAACUGGGUGCAGACUCACAUCUAAUCGU